rnacentral:rRNA from 1 species
CCUACGGGGGGCAGCAGUGGGGAAUAUUGGACAAUGGGCGAAAGCCUGAUCCAGCCAUGCCGCGUGUGUGAAGAAGGCCUUCGGGUUGUAAAGCACUUUCAGUGGGGAAGAAAGCCUUGGGGCUAAUACCCUCGAGGAAGGACAUCACCCACAGAAGAAGCACCGGCUAACUCCGUGCCAGCAGCCGCGGUAAUACGGAGGGUGCGAGCGUUAAUCGGAAUUACUGGGCGUAAAGCGCGCGUAGGCGGUCUGAUAAGCCGGUUGUGAAAGCCCCGGGCUCAACCUGGGAACGGCAUCCGGAACUGUCAGGCUAGGGGGCAGGAGAGGAAGGUAGAAUUCCCGGUGUAGCGGUGAAAUGCGUAGAGAUCGGGAGGAAUACCAGUGGCGAAGGCGGCCUUCUGGACUGACACUGACGCUGAGGUGCGAAAGCGUGGGUAGCAAACAGGAUUAGAUACCCCUGUAGUC